UACGUAGGGUGCGAGCGUUGUCCGGAAUUAUUGGGCGUAAAGAGCUUGUAGGCGGUCUGUCGCGUCUGCUGUGAAAAUCCGGGGCUCAACCCCGGACUUGCAGUGGGUACGGGCAGACUAGAGUGCGGUAGGGGAGAUUGGAAUUCCUGGUGUAGCGGUGGAAUGCGCAGAUAUCAGGAGGAACACCGAUGGCGAAGGCAGAUCUCUGGGCCGUAACUGACGCUGAGGAGCGAAAGCAUGGGGAGCGAACAGG
rnacentral:rRNA from 1 species